GGAAGUUUGGCGUAGUGGUUUAAGCGCAUCUCCCGUUUAAGGAGAAGGUCCUAGGUUCGAUUCCUAGAACUUCCA